CCCACAAACUUACCCAGUGAAUCACUGGAAAACUAUUUUCUAUUAUACAUUAGCUAUACCUAUUACUUUUCAUCUCUUUUUCACCCCUUUACUGAUUUUACAAAACUUAGGGUUCGGCCCUUAGCCUUUAACAUCGAAACCCCCCAGCUCCUUUCUUCUUUCAUUUUUUCCAAAAUCACAUACAUCUGAAACAGCUAAGAGAAGAACCAAAAUCUCGAAAAGAAGAGGAAAUUGAGAUUCAGAAGCUAAAAAGUAAAGAAAAAGAGAUGUGAUAACAAAAGGAAAAAACAGAGAAAUAAAAGGUUAGUAGGCUGUUCGAGUUUCAGCUCUCUUGCUUCAAUUUUUCUGGUAUACCUCCAAGUAAGGUUCUUACUUUCCCGAUCCAAAUUUCUGAAAAUCGGAAAUGAAUAUAAAACACUUAAUUUUCAAACAAACUAUCAACAAUCUGUCAAAACUCAAUGGUACCUUAAGAAUUCUAUCUCAAUACCCAAAGAAUUUUCCUAGCAAAGAAAGUUGAGAGUUAGCCCAGAAAAAAAAUGAGGCAAUCACAGAGAGCUUGAGAUUUUUAUUCAAAAGAGUGGUUGCCUCUAUCUCUUUAGCCAAUGGUUUUCUUUUUCCACUUUUAAAAUAAAUCAACAGCCCUUGAAUUCCUAAAAAUACGGAGUACUAUACAACUAUUUCUUCAGCAUCAAUCAACAAUAGCCAUAUCUCUCUUUCUGUCUCUGUUUCUCUGAUUUUAGUUCCUUUUUUUGGUACAUAACAGUUGAGACAAUGAUGAUAUUUUAUCUGGAUUCUAGGCUAAUUAGACCGUACAACUUGUAUAUUGGCCUGGCAAAUCACCGGACAACCAGCGAUUCAAAGGUUUUUUCUUUGGAUGCAAUCGAUGAUUUUGUAGUCAUAGCGUGUUCGCCUCUCUUUUCCACGAUCUCUCUUUACAUAUCUGAGCCUCGCUACUUUUGGGCUAGCCAUUAAAAUUAUUUUUGGACUAUAAAAUGUAUGUUGUAGUUUUGGGCUACCGGUGAAAUAUGUUUGCGCCGAUAUGCUAUAAAUGAAGGUUGCUCUUUCAUAAUCACCUCUCAAUUUUUGAUCACCUAGAUUUUGGGCCUGAACAUUUAAUGAAAGGAAUUUUUACAUAUAUGUGCCAAAUACAAUAAUAUAUUACAUAAUAUAUUUAACCUUUGAUUUUAUUACAUAUAUGUUAUUUUAAUUACAUAUAUGUACCAUAAUUCAAAAUAAUGAUACUAUUAUGUGGGUCUUUAAAUUACACAUAUUCACUCAACCAUACUCCACUAAAAAUGCAAUUCCCCCCAAUUUAUCAGCCCUUUUUACUAUUCAUUUUGAUCACUUUUCAAAUUAAAGUAACAUUUUUCCCUAAUUUCCUCCUCCCACUACACGCACCCCAUACCCUCUCUCAUUCUCCAACUUCACUUCACUGUAAGCAUACCCUCCAUCCUCCACUAGCUACGUCCACAUUUCAUUUUUCUUUUGCUCACAAAUUCGUACAAAGUUGUGGCAAAUUUGUUGUUGUAAACAAUAAACAUCUAUAACUACCUCAAAACCCUCAAAAAAUUCCUAACAUACUCGUCAUUGCCUCUUUAAUUAUGAUACUAAAGUAAAAAAAAAAGGCAAAAGUAAAAGUGGGUCUUGCAAAAAUUGAAGAAAAAAAAUUGGGAGUGAAUAUUUGUACUGCUAAGCACCAAUUUCUGAAACGGAAAUAUUGAUUUCCUUAAGCUACAUUGCCUACAAUUGGAAUAAACAAAAGGGACGAAGAUCUUCAACAAAGUUCUAUAUUCAUCAGCAACAAAUUAAAGCUUCAUAUCUAUUCUUCAUCAUAAUAGCUCUAUUAUAGUUUAAUUAUUGUUAAUUAUUAUAGUUUUGAUAUAAAUUGUAUAUGGUAUGUAGAUAACUUGUGGAUAAUAUA
rnacentral:lncRNA from 1 species